rnacentral:tRNA from 1 species
UAGUUUAAUAGGUUAAAACGGCUUACUUGUAAUAAGCUAAUAGCGGUUCGAGUCCGGU